ACGGCUCAACCGUAGAACUGCAUCCAAAACUAUUUAGCUAGAGUGUGGGAGAGGAAGAUGGAAUUAGUUGUGUAGGGGUAAAAUCCGUAGAGAUAACUAGGAAUACCAAAAGCGAAGGCAAUCUUCUGGAACACUACUGACGCUGAGGCGCGAAAGCGUGGGGAGCAAACAGGAUUAGAUACCCUGGUAGUCCACGCAGUAAACGAUGAAUGUUAGUCGUCGGGGGCCUAGUGUCUUCGGUGAUGCAGCUAACGCAUUAAACAUUCCGCCUGGGGAGUACGGUCGCAAGAUUAAAACUCAAAGGAAUAGACGGGGACCCGCACAAGUGGUGGAGCAUGUGGUUUAAUUCGAAGAUACGCGAAGAACCUUACCUAGCCUUGACAUAUUUUAGAACUCCGUAGAGAUACAGAGGUGCCUUCGGGAGCUAAUUUACAGGUGCUGCACGGCUGUCGUCAGCUCGUGUCGUGAGAUGUUGGGUUAAGUCCCGCAACGAGCGCAACCCUCGUCACUAGUUACUAACGGUUCGGCCGAGGACUCUAGUGAGACUGCCUUCGUAAGGAGGAGGAAGGUGAGGACGACGUCAAGUCAUCAUGGCCCUUACGGCUAGGGCAACACACGUGCUACAAUGGCCAGGACAGUGAGACGCGAUACCGCGAGGUGGAGCAAAUCUAUAAACCUGGUCUCAGUUCGGAUUGUAGUCUGCAACUCGACUACAUGAAGCUGGAAUCACUAGUAAUCGUAGAUCAGCUAUGCUACGGUGAAUACGUUCCCGGGUCUUGUACUCACCGCCCGUCACACCAUGGGAGUUGAUUUCACCCGAAGCGGGGAAGCUAAACUGGCUACCCUCCACGGUGGAAUUAGUGACUGGGGUG
rnacentral:rRNA from 1 species